GGGGUUGUGGUUCAAUGGUAAAAUGCUUGCCUAGCAUGCAUGAAGCACUGGGUUCGAUUCUCAGCACCA
rnacentral:tRNA from 1 species